rnacentral:rRNA from 1 species
CCUACGGGAGGCAGCAGUGAGGAAUAUUGGUCAAUGGACGCGAGUCUGAACCAGCCAAGUAGCGUGAAGGAUGACUGCCCUAUGGGUUGUAAACUUCUUUUAUAUGGGAAUAAAAUGUUCCACGUGUGGGACUUUGUAUGUACCAUAUGAAUAAGGAUCGGCUAACUCCGUGCCAGCAGCCGCGGUAAUACGGCGGAUCCGAGCGUUAUCCGGAUUUAUUGGGUUUAAAGGGAGCGUAGGCGGAUUGUUAAGUCAGUUGUGAAAGUUUGGGGCUCAACCGUAGAAUUGCAGUUGAAACUGGCAGUCUUGAGUGCAGGAGAGGUAGGCGGAAUUCGUGGUGUAGCGGUGAAAUGCUUAGAUAUCACGAAGAACUCCGAUUGCGAAGGCAGCUCACUGGACUGCAACUGACGCUGAGGCUCGAAAGUGUGGGUAUCAAACAGGAUUAGAUACCCUGGUAGUC